rnacentral:rRNA from 1 species
UACAGAGGAUGCAAGCGUUAUCCGGAAUGAUUGGGCGUAAAGCGUCUGUAGGCGGCUUUUUAAGUCCGCCGUCAAAUCCCAGGGCUCAACUCUGGACAGGCGGCGGAAACUACCAAGCUGGAGUACGGUAGGGGCAGAGGGAAUUUCCGGUGGAGCGGUGAAAUGCGUAGAGAUCGGAAAGAACACCAACGGCGAAAGCGCUCUGCUGGGCCGACACUGACACUGAGAGACGAAAGCUAGGGGAGCGAAUGGG